UUAAAUCAAUUUAAUUUGAAAUUAAAAAUUUAUUUUUAUUAAUAAUUAAUGAUUGUGUUAAAAGAAAUAAAUUUUAAUUUAUUAUUAUUAAGAAAAGUUUAGUUUAAUGAUAAGGUAUAAGUAUUGUGAAAGAAAUUCAUUAAUUAAUUUAAAGAAAAAUUUAAUUUUUGUACCUUGUGUAUCAGGGUUUAUUAAAAGAUAAUUUAAAAUUUAAAAAUCUCGAAUUUAAAAGAGCUAAGAGUUUAUAAUUUUUAUUGUAAAAUAAUUAUUUUUAAUAGACUUUUAGUAAUGAAAUGUUAUUCGUUUUUAAAUAUAUCUAGUUUUUUAAGAAAUAAAUUUAAUUUAUUUAUUAUUAAAAUUAAAUUAAAUUUAUAAUUUGAUGUUAAUAAUAUAUUAUAUUUUUAGGGAUGAGCUUAAAAAUAAAAUUUUAUUAGAAAAUUAAAAUUAAAAUAUUAUAGGAUUAAAAAUUUUCAUUAUUUAAGUAUGUUAUAAUUUAUUUUUAUUAUAUUAUAAUUUAUAUUUUUUAUAAAUUUUUUAUUAAAAUAUAUUUUUUAAUAAUGAAAAAUUAGAAAUAAUAAUAAAAUUAGUAUAAUUAUUUUAAAAAAUAUAAAAAUUUUUUAGGUUUAUAAAAGGAAUUCGGCAAAUUAUUUUUCACCUGUUUAUUAAAAACAUGUCUUUUUGUUUAAAAUUUAAGGUCUAACCUGCCCCCUGAUUAAUUAAAUGGCCGCGGUAUUUUGACUGUGCUAAGGUAGCAUAAUCAUUAGUUUUUUAAUUGAAAGCUGGAAUGAAGGGUUGAAUGAGAAAAUAACUGUCUCUUAUAAAUUUUAUUAGAAUUUUAUUCUUAAGUUAAAAAGCUUAAAUAAUUUUAAAAGACGAGAAGACCCUAUAGAGUUUAAUAUAAAGAUUUUUAAUAAAAAUAAAGAAUUAAGAGUUUAUUUUAAGUUUUGUAUUUAAUUGGGGUGAUUAAAAAAUUUAAUUAACUUUUUUUUAAUUUAAAUAUAAAUAAAUAAUUAAUUGAGCCAAAUUUUUUGAUUAUAAGAAUAAAUUACCUUAGGGAUAACAGCGUAAUUUUAUUGGAGAGUUCAAAUUGAUAAUAAAGAUUGCGACCUCGAUGUUGGAUUAAAAUUUAUUUUUGGUGUAGAAGCUAAGAAAUUUAAGUCUGUUCGACUUUUGAAAUUUUACAUGAUCUGAGUUUAAACCGGUGUAAGCCAGGUUGGUUUCUAUCUUUAAUUAAUUAAUUUAUUUUAGUACGAAAGGACCAAAUAAA
rnacentral:rRNA from 1 species